rnacentral:rRNA from 1 species
UGAGGAAUAUUGGUCAAUGGGCGUAAGCCUGAACCAGCCAUCCCGCGUGCAGGAAGACGGCGCUAUGCGUUGUAAACUGCUUUUCCAGGGAAAGAAAACCCCCGACGUGUCGGGGCUUGCCGGUACCCUGGGAAUAAGCAUCGGCUAACUCCGUG